rnacentral:rRNA from 1 species
UACGGCGGGUGCAAGCGUUAUCCGGAUUCACUGGGUUUAAAGGGCGCGUAGGUGGGUCUGUAAGUCAGUGGUGAAAUCUCCGGGCUUAACCCGGAAACUGCCAUUGAUACUAUAGGUCUUGAAUUUUCUGGAGGUCAGCGGAAUAUGUCAUGUAGCGGUGAAAUGCUUAGAUAUGACAUAGAACACCGAUUGCGAAGGCAGCUGACUGCAGGAAUAUUGACACUGAGGCUCGAAAGCGUGGGGAGCAAACAGG